rnacentral:rRNA from 1 species
GCCUACGGGGGGCAGCAGUAGGGAAUCUUCCACAAUGGGCGAAAGCCUGACGGAGCAACGCCGCGUGGGUGAAGAAGGUCUUCGGAUCGUAAAACCCUGUUGUUAGAGAAGAAAGUGCGUGAGAGUAACUGUUCACGUUUCGACGGUAUCUAACCAGAAAGCCACGGCUAACUACGUGCCAGCAGCCGCGGUAAUACGUAGGUGGCAAGCGUUAUCCGGAUUUAUUGGGCGUAAAGAGAACGCAGGCGGUCUUUUAAGUCUGAUGUGAAAGCCUUCGGCUUAACCGGAGUAGUGCAUUGGACACU